AAAUACUGGCAAAGUCGGGUCUGAAUCCGGAUAGAUCACUACAGUGGAGGCAGCUGAGUCUGAUUAGGGAGUGCAGGCUCCGAGGGAAAAGGGUUUCCAGUCUCUCAGCCUGUCAUCUAUCCCUCUGUCUGGCAAAAUGAAGGACCCUCUGUAGGAUCCACUUCCUUCAGAAGGAAGAUAGGAUAUAGAGAAUGUGGGGCAUGAGGAUCACUUGAAGCUAUGGAAGGAUGUGCUCCAUCAAUAUGAAAGAGUAAACCGAGAAAAGGAAAUAAACGGGAUACAGGAAACAUGAGAUCUAAUCCAGAGGAGCAAUAAAGGCAACAUCUAAAAUGAUGCUGAUGGCGAAUCCAAGGGUAGAUCUGAGGGGAAUCACUAUGUACCAAGAACAAAAAGCAGUUCAGAUUAGGGUGCAUUUGAAAAUUUGUGUCCAAGCAGAAUGCAGUUUUUAUCUAUACUGUUCCAGAGUGAGCUGAAAGGCAUUGUGAAAAUUGAAGGAACCAUUACUUUUACUGACAGUAUCCACAAUGAUGAGUCUUUAUGGCUGAGAUAGAAUAAUAAGACAAUAAAACAUAUGCCCUAAUGUGAAUGAUUAUACUAAAGUUUGGCAUGUCUUUUUAAAAAUCAACAAGGAGAAAGCCUUCAUCAGAAGGAGAGAGCCAUCUGAUUUCCAUGGGCUCCAAUGCAGAAGAAAAUAUUAACUGGUCUUAAUCAAAGAAAUAUUCCUACAUAUACAAAUAUGCCCAUACAUACAUGCAAUAACUCUAGAAGAAUGUACAGUAUAAUAAUCUGGUAUUUAUACUUUGGUUCCUUUUGAAUUUUCUACUGUAUGCAUGUAUUACUUCUUCAAAAAUUGAAUACAAUGAAAGCUUUUCUAAAACUUUAAUUCAAAUGCCCAUAAUUGUAAAUACAUGUAUCUAGAAACAAUAAUUUUACUUGUAGGGAAAUAUUGUAUAGAUAAAACCUCACCUUUUGGAAAUGGUAUAUAUAAGGUCAUUUAAUACAGAAUUAAUAACAAAACAGUGGAAGCAACUUUUACAAGGAACUCGUGAAGUAAUAAUGUUUAUCUAUUCAAUGAGACUGUAUGAAGGCUUUUAGUAGAUGAAGACUCAUAUAUUGAUGUGAAACAAUCAUUACAAUAUUUUGUCAAAUGAAUGAAAGCAAGAUGAAAAAUACACAGAGUAUGCCACAUUUGUGUAAAAAACAAGAAAAAAUCUCAUGUGUGUGUGUCUCUCUGUGUGUGUGAAUAUGUGCAUUGAUUUCCACAUAUAUGCACAGAAUAAAAGAUUCAGAAAGGUAGGCUAUCAGAAAGAAUAAAAGUAAUUGAUAACAU